UAAAUUAUCACAAUUUCUACACUUUUAGAAAAAAAAACAACAAUUGAACCCUUAUUGUUUCUCUAGAAAACCUACGUACAACAAUUCUGACCCACCACUUCCUCAUCUCUUUUUCAAGCCAGUUCAUACAAAUCAUGUCAAAACCUCUAACUUUCUCACUAACCUAAACAUACAAGUCACCACAUUGUCAUCAUCCUUAUAAAUUUUCAUUGCCAAAACUAUUUUCAAGCAGCAUCCCAAUCCUAACCGCUAACCAAUCUCAUUCAAAGAAAAUCACAAGCCAAACUAAUAUAAUUUUUGUACAGGUUUUGUUGUUGUUGUUUUGCAGAUAAAUAGAGAAGAAGGAAAAACUCUGCCGCGAAGAACAUCAACGCCGACGAACAACAUAACAACUCCUCAAAAUUUAGAUCACAACCACCAAUCAUCUUCACUGCACGCAACCUGUAGAACGAGAAUCAGAAUCAACAAACCUCAAGACCUUCUCAUCAAAUCAAAUCGGAAACAACAACAUCGAAACCAACAAGUUUUCGUGAAUUCCUAAUUAAAAUAAUAACCCUUCAAUUUUCUCUUUUUUUUUGUGAACAGCUCGUAGCGAUGAAGGGAUGAAGUAGUUCAGAACAAUAUCUCUCUGAACCGACAAGUUUUCGUGAAUUCCUAAUUAAAAUAAUAACCCUUCUCCGCUUGGAGCGAAACUCCGCUGCCCUCAACAACGUCGAAGCCACGCAGCCAACACUUGCACGACACAACACCAGCAAGCCCAGUUUCACCACCGCAUCAUGGCCGCGCCGCCCAAACUUCUGACAGUGCUGAAAUCCGCCGUCUUCCUCCUACCGCCACGAGUAAGAUCUCCUGUUUUCAUUCUAAUUUGAGAUGCGUGAUGCUUUCUUUCCAUUAUUUCCAUUGCUGUUUAAUUUUUGUAUGAGAUCUGAAAUUUGAUUUUGGUUCUGAGAAUUUUGUUUUGAUGAUACUUGUAUUCUGUUAAUGCAAUUGAGAGAGGAAGAUGAUAAGGAUGUGAGAGAGAGAACUGUUCUUUAAUUUUGGUAAUUAAAUUAAUGCAUUUAAUAAAAAAAAUAUAAGAAACUAAUUUUGAGAUUAAUAAGGGGUGGGUCACGGUUAGCUACCAUGUUCUUCUCCUUUUAUUUUAAUUUUUUGUAUCAAUUAACAUGGCAUGUGGUUAGCUUGUUUUUUUAUUUAUUUAUUCAAAUUAUUCUUUUUAUUAUUAAAAACAAAACAAAAAAAACUAAAAAAAACUAAUUCAAAGAGAAUAAUAAGGUGAUGCUACGGUUACUAAUUCUUUUUAUUAUUUCUUCUUUUUUAAUUAAUUAAUUUAUUAAUAAUUAAUUAGGAUUCUAAGAGGACAUUUGGGCCUUGUGUACGUUAGGUCUCAUCUCAUUCCGAUCACGACUCUUCAUUUCUAAUUGUACCCAUAUUAUUUUUAUAAGUCUUUUGUUUCUAAUAUUUUUAUUUUUUAUUAUAUUAUUAUUUUUUUUAAUAUUUGCUUAUUCUUUAUAUUUUUAUUUUUAAUCAAAAAAAUACAAAAAAAAUGUUAUUGCUUAUUUUUUAUUAGAAUUAAAUUUGAAUUUUUAGAUUUGCUUUCUGUCAAUUUUGAUUUAUACAUAUUCAUAUUUUUGUCAUCUCUUGUAUAUCAUUUUAUGUUUCAUACUAACAUUUCAUUUUCUUGUUUAUUGCGAGGUACAUUCGAGCUGUUUAUCUAUUCUCGUGGAUAUUCGCAAAUUCAUCCUCAAUCUCCUCCACUGGAUCUCCAAUAAUCCAGAUCUAACGUCCAAGAGCUGCAUCUCCACCAUGCAUCUUCACAAGGGAGCUACACAAGAUCGCAAGGUUAACCAAAAUCCUUCAGCCAUGCGCCAUGCCAAUCAAAAGUUAAGUCCUAUUUCAUAUUUAUUGUAAAUAUUCAUUCUAUUUUAUUUUGUUUAUUCCAUCAAAUUAGAGUUAGCCUUAAUUGUCGUUGAAUUAGCCAUACACUCACUGUAUUUUAUUCUUCUGUCAAUUCUCAUAUGGUCAGAGUCAAUGCUUCAUACUCGAGGCAGGCCUUUGCCCAUCAACCUUCCAAUCAAAGCUAAGUAUUCGAUUCAUUUAAAUUUCAAAGUCUAUUUUGUUUCCCUUGAUUUUAGGGUUUGCCCUUAUAUUUUUGAACUAUGCAUACAUUCACAUAUUAUCUGCCUUUGCCAUUUUUUAGGGUUACCCCCGAGGCUUCCCGCCAACCAUAUCAGAUCAAAUCAGAGCUAAGUACCGUUGCCUAUUUUAUUAUUUUGAAUUUAAUUAUUCUUUAUUUUAGGGUUAAUUCAAUUUGCCUCUGAACAAAUAAUACACUCACUCUCUUCUGUUUAUUCUUUCCUUUUCAAUUUUCAGGGUUUGUUGACCGCCAAGGCUACAGUGUUGGUAACCCUAAACCCUAACCUUAAUAUUUUAUGCUUUAUUAUUACUUAUGUCAAACCCUAUUAAGGGAUCCGCUGGUUACAAUUUCCCUCCCCCAUAUCUGUUUUGAUUAUAUUAUUUAAAUGCGUGGUUAGUAAUCCUAGGGAGUGCAACCUUUAAAUUGAACAUAGAAUCACUAAAUUUACAAGAUAAUAUAUUUGAAUAUAAUCACAUGAUUGGUGCACACACGCACACUUUUGGGUAACCUCUUUGUUGCCUGUUGCCUUGUUGCCUGUUCCUGUUGCCUUGUUGCCUUGUAUUUUUUGCAGAAUAGUCAGUCCCUCGAAUACGAGGGUACCUCAGCCAUAUUGCCUCGAUUAAAGGUCAUGGUCCCUAAUGAUGCUGCCUUCGAUACACUAACAUGACCUCGACCCUCAAAAGUUGCCUACGGAAAAGGCUGAGGUAUCUUCUGGCUGCCUACGAAAGGCUAUUCUGAUCCUUCCCCUUAGACUACCUGCCUCUCUAUGGCAUGGGUCAGUCUCAUGGCGAAGGAUAUUUCGAUGACCCUUCUACCUCCAAACGAAAGGCUUCCUGCCCUCUUAUGGCAAGGAUAGACCCUUUCAUUCUAAAAGGCUAAAAAGAGACCUAUCAUCUGAGUUUAAGGUAAUUGCCCCUAAUUGCCUUGCCAUGCUCUAUUUUCUAUAUUCUUUCUCAAAAUUCUUCAAAAAACUGGCUACGCUCAUUUACGAGCUAAAGUCCAUUUUUCCUCUUUCAUCUACAUUUUCUGAAAACGAGCAAGCAAAGCAAUUAAGAGCCCAUGGAAAACCAUGGAUGCAAAGGGUGCCUUACACCUUCCCUUUGCAUAAAUUACCCCCGAACUUAGAUUUCUUUAAAAGGUUUUUUUUCUGUUUCUUUUAGCCUUUCUGAAUUUGUUUGGAUAAAAUAAAAGUCGGUGGCGACUCAUGCUUAACCGCGACAUUUCGAUCGAUAAAAAGUCAGUUCACCGUAUUACACAAGUGGUGCCAUCCGAUACGAAGAAACGGAUAUAGGAGCCGUUCUCGGUAUCAGGUCAAUAGAGAAUUCCACUUCCCUUUCCGGAAGGAAGAGAACUGACAUCCUCGGGAAAAACAUCAGGGAAACCACUAACAGCAAUUGUGAAAUCUCGAAGUUGUCACUCGUCUCCUCAGUGAGAACCAACAGAACAAACUCCUCUUUCCCAAACAAGAAAUUAAUCAUACCUACCGUACCUUCCAGAAUAGUAGUCAAAACAUCUUUCGGAGUAACUUCUUCAGAUGGAAUAAUGAUUAGUUUCUCUUCACACCCAAUGAAUACCGAAUUAGCAUAAGGCCUAUCCAUUCCCAAAACAACAUCUACUUUCUUAAGUGGUAAACAAUUAAGAUCAAUUUAGAAUUUCUACCACCCACAGAUAAAACACAAUUCUCACACACCACGGUGUCUCGACUAUCUCAUCAAAGGUAUACACUCGACCAGUACCUCUUCCUUGCAUUUGAUUCCUAUUCUGAGGAUAAUUCCUCACCACAUGCCUUUCUUGUCAAUAAUAAAAACAUUUCACCCUUUUUAAGGUUACACCUUCCAAGGUGAUUCUUACCACAACCACGACACACUGGAGGUGCACUAAACCGAGAAUCUUACACUUGUUUCCCUUAGAAAACUUGUGACCUAGGCCGAAACUGUUGGCUUGGCCUUCCUCUCUCAUUCUGAUUCUUCUUCUUCAAAUCUUCCUCAGCUUGAACUUUCUUCAAACUGGUCUCAGCCACAUAACAUUGUCACAACAACUUCGUAUAGGUAGUGAACUCCCUCUAGGACACACUAUGCGAAAUCUCAGCCCUUAAACCAAAUAGAAACUAGUCCACCUUCCAACUCUCAUCAGGAGCAUACCCGGCCUGCCUAGAAUAAGCAGCCAGAAUUUCAAACUUCUCAGCAUAAGUAGCCACCGACAUAUUCUCCUGCCUUAACUGUUGGAACUCCAAUUCCCUUUUAGUCCUCAGGGAACUAGGAAAAUAUUUCUCCAUAAAAAUGGUCUUGAAAUUAACCCACUCCUUAGGUACUUCUGGAAUAGUCAUCAACGCAGAAGCACUCUUCCACCAUCUCAUAGCUGGACCUUUUAGCGAAUGAGAAGCAACACCACCUUGUCCUCUUCACUACAAUGCACGAUCUCAAAGAUCCCUUCCACAUUGGCCACCCACUCGUGUGCCUUAAUAGGAUCUAAUGCGCCAUGAAAUUCCGAAGGAUUCAUGCGAAUGAAAUCCUUAUAAGUCGCACCUGCAGCUUCGGGUACAACCACUGGAACAUUAUGACCGCCAUUCAUCUGUUGCAUCAUCUGCAGCAUGAACUGAUUCUGCUGCUGUUGCAUCUGUUGCAUGAACUGGGGCCACGGAAUAUUCUCACCGCCAUUCGGUUGAUUCACUUGUGGGGGUUGAGUGUGGGGGUCAACCAUGAGUCCUGCGUCCGUCCACCAUGUUCCUGGAGGUCAUGAAAAUGGGAUUAAGUUGAUCAGGCUCAAUACCAUAGUCAUAACACAACAAAAAUCAUGGGAACACAACACAUCUUGGACAGAAGAAACACUUAUAAUAUCUCAUGGCAAGGUCGAGGAUACGACCUGCUCUGAUACCAACUGUAACACCCAUAUAUAAUUACAUGCAUCAAAUCAUAUAAAUAUACAUGAAUCUAAGUAUUUGGUACUGAAAUAUCAAUAAGUUCCUAGUCAACACAUUAUACAUAUUAAUGCCCUAAUACAAAAGUUCUACACAAUGGCAUAAUACAUACAAGAUGUUCAAAAUGAAAUUUCUAAGAACUAGAUCAAACAAUGAUCUCAAAGGAACUCAACAACGGAAGCUUCGCCAUGCCCAAAAUAACAAGAAGCAUAAGGAAGUCAAACUGCCUUCUCCUUACCCUUAGCGGAAUCUGAAGUACCUGAAAUCAAUAUAUAAUGGGGUGAGAUAAAAUAAUCUUAGUGAGUUCCCUAUCUUAUGGGUCCUCUCGGCUUUACAAGGUUCUAGCCUAUCACUCUCAAAUCAAGACAAGGAACUAGACCUUGAGUUCACACACUAACAUUAUAUUGAAUCAUACUUAGAGUUCAACAACUCAAACUCAAGAUUACUAAUCGGAAACCAAUACCAAGGCAUCCCUCUAUUCUCGUCCCCUUCUACGUCUAGGAGGUGGCACGAGUCAUGGAUCCUUUGGAAAAUCUUGACAUACGAAAUGGAUUCGGAUUCAUGAGCCUUCCCCCAUGAAUCGUCACUUCACAUGGCCUGUACACCAUCACAAGUCUCUACCCUUAGGUUCCAUUCGUACACAAAAGCGGGAAUCAAACCUGCCAAGAUUAUUAGUGCCUCUCUGCACAGUGCCUCUCUGCACAUAGAAUGCCUCUUUUGCAUUCAAAGGAAAAAAAAUAAGGAAAUAAAGAAAUACAAUGGUUCCGAUUAAUACAUCAUACAAUGGUGAUCGCUCACGCAAACCACUAGGCCUGUUAGCCCUUCAUACAUUGGUGAUCGCUCACGCAAAUCACUAGGCAUGUUAGCCUUUCUUCAUAAGAUUCUAAAUACACGUAUGUUCCACAUAAUGUUCAUCCUAGGUACUCUUUGUUAAGCUACAUAACCUAACAAAUCCUAGUUUUCCUCACUUAAUCUCUUAUUCGUAUAACCCAUGUAGUUAUUCGAACCUCUUGAUACAUAUCUGUAUACGAUGAAGUAUACUAAUCCUCCUGCAAUAGGAUUCACCCAAACAAACACAAUAUACUAGGUUACACCAAAGGCAACCAACAAUUUCAUCAUUUUCCUGUAAACAAAUGGCAAGUUAUCACAACUAUAUAGCAAUUAAUCAAUAUGCUAAAAGUAUACCGUUCACAUAAUUCCGAACGAUAAAACAACUCGAGGAAUCAAACUAUUUUUCCCAAUUCCCGAUUAAAUAAUUCUUCUUUCGAUCCCAAAACCUACACUACUAGAAAGUACACGCAUCUAGCUUCCUACCACUUCGAACGGUGAUUAAAACAGAGUUAUGGUUCAAAAGUUAUGAUCGAAAUAGUUUUAUCUCAUUCAACUAAAAUUUGCUAAGAAAAGGCUUCAGUUCGCGCCGCUAACUGUUGUUCGCGCCGCCAACCUCAGGCAGUGGCAAACCUCACAGAAAACUCGCAGUGUUCGCGCUGCGAAGCCUUGUACGCGCCGCGUACUGUUAACAGAACCAAACCCCAUAAUCCUUCUGCAUGGUUCGCGCCGCCAUCUAUCGUUCGCGCCGCGAAGUGUGCGAAAUCAGAAGUUCCAGAUCUGUUUUCUUGCUUUUCCCAUGGUUUAAUCCAACCAUCUCCAUACUCAAACCUGUUCCAGAUUCAUACUAAAGCAUAGAACAACAUAUAUGGUCUCUACUCAGGAUUUAUUAGCAGCAACAAACAUCAAUCUCUUAGAUUGAGUCAAACCCUAAGAUUUUUACCAAAAACCCCAAUUUCUCAACUUAUGAUUUCAUCCAUAAAUCAAAACUAUAAGUUUCUAACUAGAACCCACCUCGAUUACAAGUCGUUGAUGAUGAAGAUGAGUUGAUUCGGCGGAGAAAUGGUGAAGAUCCAAGCUUUUCCUCUUUUCUCCUCUUGCUCUUGCUUCUCUCUACUUCUUCUCUCUAGAACCUUGUUUAUGUUGCAAUGAAGAAGAAAAGCAAAAGAGGAAAGAAUAUAAGACUAUAUUCUUAAGUUAGCACUUCUAACUUAAAUGUCCUAAGUAUCUCUAAUGUACCAAUUAGUGAAACCUCAAUGCCAAUUAAUAACAUUAGGGCAUUUAAUUUAAUACGGGGUAUUACAUCUUCUGUGCCAGACCCAUUGCUCUUCAGAAACAGACAUACGGCAAGUCACCUUCUGCUUCUCAAGAUCAGAAAGAUCAAUCUUAUAAAUGUUGUUCUUUCUCUUGCCUGUAAAUAGGAUUGAGCCAUUCUUCUGACUUACAACCUUGCAAGACUUUUGAUUGAAGAUUAUGUCAUAACCAUUGUCAGUUAAUUGACUUAUGGACAAUAAGUUAUGCGCUAAUCCUUCUACAAGAAGUACAUUAGAUAUGGAAGGAGAGUUACCAGUACUUAUAGUUCCAGAGCCAAUUAUUUUGCCCUUCUGAUCUCUUCCAAACUUGACUUCCCCACCAGACUUAAGCACCAGGUCUUGGAACAUAGACCUUCUUCCUGUCAUGUGUCGCGAGCACCCAGAGUCCAAGUACUAUGACAUGUUGUGCUUUGUCUUCUUUGCUGCCAAGGAUAUCUACAACAGAAAUUAUCUUCUCCUUAGGUACCCACAACUUCUUGGGUCCUUUCUUGUUAGUUUUCCUCAAGUUCUGAUUGAACUCGGGUUUAGCAUAAUAAACAACAGGAGGUACAACAUGAUAUUCCUUAGGUUUAGCAGCAUGAUAUUUUCUAGGUUGUGUCACAUGCUUCUUAGUGUGUGUAGCAUGAAAGCUUUUGGCAUGUGAAGUGAGCUUAAUAUCAUGUGAGUGGCCAUAUUUGAACUGAUCAUACAAUGGCUUGUAUGUGAUUUUCAUAUCAUCAACAGGUUCAAAUUUUUGUGGGGUGUCACCCUCUUAGCCAACUCCAAUCCUUUUGUUUCCAGAAACACCAUAUAUCAUAGAAGCAAUAUGACUUCUGCCAAUACUUCUAGAUAAUAACUUUCUAAAACUCGAGUCAUAUUCUUUCAGAAUAUGAUUGAGACUAGGAAUGGAUUUUUCUGAGUCAGAAGGAGAUCCAAUAUCUUUGGAUAAUUUUAAGACUUUUUCCUUCAGUUCAGAAUUUUCCACUUCCAGCUUCUUAGUUUCAGAAUCAAAUAGCUUUUUCAGCUUUUUGUAUUUGAUACUAAGAUGAGCCUUGAGUUCCAGAAGUUCUGUUAAAUUGAAAACUAACUCUUCUCUAGAUAGUUCAGAAAAUACCUCUUCAGAAUUUGAUUCUGAUGUAGAUUCUGAUCCAUCAUCAACUGUGGCCAUCAGUGCAAUGUUUGCCUGCUCGUCUUCAGAGUCUGAUUCUGAUUCUGAAUCUGAAUCAUCCCAUGUUGCCAUAAGACCUUUCUUCUUAUGAAACUUCUUCUUGGGAUUUUCCUUCUGAAGUUUUAGACACUCAUUCUUGUAGUAACCAGGCUCAUUGCACUCAUAGCAUGUGACCUUCUUCUUGUCAGAUCUUCUGCUUUCAGAAGAUUCUCCUUUUUCAAGCUUCUUAGAACUUCUGAAGUUCUUGAACUUCCUAUGUUUGCUUUUCCAGAGUUGGUUUACCCUUCUGGAGAUCAUGGAAAGUUCAUCUUCUUCUUCUGAUUCUGAUUCUUCAGAAUCUUGUUCUUCUGCCUGAAAAGUGUUAGUGCAUUUUUUAUAAUUAGAUUUUAAUGCAAUAGACUUACCUUUCUUUUGAGGUUCAUUAGCAUCCAGCUCUAUUUCAUGACUUCUCAGAGCACUGAUCAAUUCUUCACGAGAAACUUCAUUCAGAUUCUUGGCAAUUUCGAAAGCAGUCACCAUAGGACCCCAUCUUCUUAGAAAGCUUCUGAUGAUCUUCUUGACAUGAUCAACCUUGGUGUAUCCCUUGUCAAGAACUCUUAACCCAGCAGUUAGCAUUUGAAAUCUUGAGAACAUUUUCUCAAUGUUUUCAUCAUCCUCCAUCUUGAAGGCUUCAUAUUUAUGGAUCAAGGCAAGAGCUUUGGUCUCCUUGACUUGGGAAUUUCCUUCAUGAGUCAUUUUCAAUGACUCAUAUAUAUCAUAGGCAAUUUCCCUGUUAGAUAUCUUCUCAUAUUUAGCAUGAGAGAUAGCAUUCAGUAAAACAGUACUACACUUGUGAUGAUUUUUGAAUAGCUUUUCUUGAUCAUCACUCAUCUCUUGUCUUGAGAGCUUUACACCACUAGCUUUCACUGGAUGUUUGUAACCAUCCACCAGAAGAUCCCAUAAGUCACCAUCUAAACCAAUAAAGUAACUUUCGAGCUUAUCUUUCCAAUAUUCAAAGUUUUCACCAUCGGAUACUGGUGGUCUAGUGUAGCCAUUGUUACCGUUUCCAUUGUAAUGCUCAACAGAGCCAGAUGUAGGUGUUGGAGUUUCAACCAUCUUGACUUAGCGUUUUUCUCUUCCUGAAUAUUUUCUAAACACAGUUAAGUGCUUGCACCUUAGAACCGGCGCUUUGAUACCAAUUGAAGGAUAGAAAAUAACUUAGAAAGGGGGGGGUUGAAUUAGUGUACUUUAAAAACUCUUAAGAUAAAAAAAAUUGCACAAUGAUUGUUAUCCUGGUUCGUUGUUAAUGAAACUACUCCAGUCCACCCCCUUAGAGUUAUUUACCUCACUUGAGGAUUUAAUCCACUAAUCACACAAGAUUACAAUGGUUUUCCACUUAGAUACCCUCUAAGUCUUCUAGAGUAUUCUGAUCACAACCUGAUAACUCGAGGAACACAAUGCUUAGAUACCCUCUAAGACUUACUAGAGAAUCCGAUCACAACUUGAUCUCCUCUAGUUCUUUACAAAUAAAUGUAAACAAAUUCUUACAAGAGUAUUACAAUGCUUCUUAAAAGCUAUAAUCACAACUGUGAUAUUUCUCUUAAAGUUUAAGCUUAAUCUCACUAAGAUAUUACAACAGUAAUGAAGUGAGGUUGAAGAUGAAGUUUGAGAGCUUUUGAAUUUGACAGCGUUUUCGUAAGUUUGCGCAAAGUGUUGUAUUCAGCUUCUCAUCAUAACUUCUAUUUAUAGGCGUUUAAGAAGAUGACCGUUGGGAGCAUUUAAUGCAUUGCGUGAUCCGUACAGCAUUGCAUUUAAUGUUUCACUCUUUUGUCAACUACCUCGAGCCUUGCUUUUCCUGCUUUAACUGACGUUGCCUUUAAUAGCUUCUAACGUUCCUUUUGUCAGUCAGUGUAGCCUGCCAUCUUGUACUUGCUUAUGAUCUGAUCUUUGUUGAUACAACAUUUGAAUAUAUCAGAGUUAAACAACUUGGUGCAGAGCAUCUUCUUGUCUUCUGACCUUGAAGUGCUUCUAGCGUGAUACCAUGAUAACUUCAGUGCUUCUGCUUCUGAUCAUAAGUUCUUCUGAUGCUUCAAUAGACCAUGUUCUGAUUCUUCUUGACCAUCUUCUGAUGUUGCAUACUUCAACCUUCUGAGUCAGUGCUUCUUGCGCUGAUUUUGUGCAUACUCUUUAUAUAUUUCCUGAAAUGGAAAUUGCAUAGAAUUAGAGUACCACAUUGUCUCAAGCAAAAUUCAUAUACAUUGUUAUCAUCAAAACUAAGAAUAUUGAUUAGAACAAAUCUUGUUCUAACAUCUAUAGGUUGUAUGGAAGGUGUUUGGAUGGUUGGGUUUUAUGAAACUUAAGGGGAUUUGCAAAUUCGAAACUUUUUGUUUGAAGGUAAAAAUGAGCUUUGAGUGAGAUGGUGAACUAGAGAGUUGUUUUGUGUUGGACUUCAGAGCCAAGGUCUACUAUUUAUAGAGGUCAUUUGUGGUUUAUGUGUGAAGAAAUCAGCUGGAAAUGAGUCCUCUAUCAAAAGUUGUUUUGGUUAGAUUUCAAUCUGAAAGUACAUAAACAUGGUGGUUCACAAGUGAUCAUGGAGCCUUUCUAGAGUAGUUGCAACUUUGUAGGAGGUUCUUCUUGGCAUUGAGAUGAUGUGUGAUCAAAAGUAACAAUCACAAAGCUCCAAGCACUGACUUUGUGAUUAAAGCUUAUUUAUCAAAAUGGAAGUCAUGACUUUAAGCUCAAAAUGGAAUGCAUCUUUGGACAAUGUUUGAAUCAAGUGGAUAAUGCUUCAAAAUUUUGAGUAAAGUUCAUGUCUGGCUAUGCCAACUUCAACACUUAAUAUCUUCCAGUCCUUAUGAGUUUCUUAGUCAAUUCAUUUUGCUAUGGUGUAGUACCAAAUGUCAUCUUGAAGUACAUCCUUUGGGCAUGAAAAAUGGUUUCUUGGAUUUGAAGUUAAAAGCUUUGAAAGUUAUGCACUUUAACAUCGAUUUUGUGGACUUAAAAAAUUUCCAUAUCUUCACUUUUGUCCCUUUUGCAAGUAACCUUAAUUUUCUUGAUCAAUUUCAAGUAUCGAACAUGUUUUCAUGACAUUCAUCUUGAGAAGUCCAUUUUUUACCAAAAAAUUGCAAAAGUCAAAGUUUGUCUUUGUAGUUGACUUUUUCAUCAAAUGAAUCCAAAUCUUCCAAAUCCAAUGAAAUCUUAUGAUCAUGAUGCAAUAUUCAAUACAUUGAGACACCUUGAGGCUAUAGAAAUUAUAGUAAUGAGGACCUCUUGAUUGUUACACAAUUGAAGCUCAACACACAAAACCCUAAUUCUUGAUCUUUUGAUUGAGGGUCUCAAAACCCUAAUUCCAUUCACACUUGAUGAACAAAUGAUGAAACCUUAAUGUAGUGAGACAUUGAUGAAGAUGAGGACCUCAUGAGAUGAUGAAAACCUAAAUCACAAGAUACCUGUGGUUUAGACCCUUUUAUGCUCAUAUCAAUGAAAAUUCCCGAUCACCAACUUGUGUGCAAUAAUCAGAUGAAACUUAUGCUAUGUGUGAUUGAUGAAGUCAAAAGACUUAAUGAAAGACGCACAUGGUGUGGGAUCUUGGUUUAAAAGUUAGGGUAUGACAGAUGCCCCUAUUUAAGUUUCUCUUAUCCGGAGAUACAAAGAUAGAAAUCUUUGUCUCAACGCGAUCAGGGGGACUUAAAUAUUAAUGUAAAACCCCAUUUUAGGCCUAAGAUCCCAUAGAAGGUAUGAUUUAAUAUGAGAGAAGACAAAGAUUAAUAUGGGAAAAGGCAUCACAAGGGAUAAAUAGGAUACAAGGAUUCUCACAGGAGAGUAUCAUGAAAAGUCUCAACUGAGAAAAAGGAACAAAAGGAAAAAACAAAUCCACAGAAGAGAGGAAUCCAACUUCUCUUAGGGAAAGAUUAUAAGGUUACCGUGGAUACGCAACGUCGUUUAUUAGAGACAGACUACCAACUUCUACUAAGGAGUAGAGAAGCAAAGAAUGAACAUCAACUGAACAUCAACCUUUCACUUGAAGAUGCAUGGAUGAAAGAAUAAAAAUAAUAAUUAUCAAAAGAAAUUUCAAUGUGAAAUUUGCCAAUUGUCAAAACAUACACAUCCAUCCACUGCAAAUCUAUAAACCCUCCUAACCAUUUUCUCUUAUUCAUAGGGAUGUAUGAGAUCAUCACAGAUCAACAAUGUUACUGAAUCAAGAUGGUUUGUCAUCUUUAUUGACGACCACACAUGACUCACUUUGGUGUACCUUAUGAAAAAGAAAUAGAGUAUGGCUAGUUAUUUGAAAUUUUUUAUAAAUAAAAAAUUUGGUUUUACUUUUUUUUUUUGUUAAAAAAAUAUUUUAAUAAUUUUAUCCAAAGUGUAAGGGUGUCAUGUUUAAUUAUUAAAAGUGUCAAAUAUAAUUCUCCUACUAUUUCUUGACUUUUUGUUUAGACCAAUAGAUAUAGAUGAGACUCAAAAAUUAGAUUGAAGUAUAAUCGGUUCUUUCAAAAAUUCAGUAUUAAACUAAAGAUUUUUCUAAAAUUUGAUUUUACAUUGAAUAUUAAAAGAUUUGAUAUAAAAUUAUAGGUUUUCUCAAAAUUAAAAUUCUCUAUCUAUAUAACAUGUAAAAAUUAAAAAAGAAACAAGAAAAUAUAAUUUUUUUUUUAUCUGAAUAACAAAAUAAGUAUUUGUAUAAAAUUAGGGGGUGCGAGAUAGUUACUUGAAGAUGAGGCUCAAAGUUGAGAAUGAAACUUGUGACACAAGACAUCUUUAUUUGGUUCAUUAAUUACAAAUCUUAAUAAAUCCUUUUCAUUAAUGACACAAAUCCUUAAAAGAUUUUAGGGUUUAUUUAGUCCCAUCCCACACAACGGUCACAAAAAAUAGCUUCUAUAAAUAAGAUUCGCGCAAUCACUCUUAACAUUCAUUCUCAUUCUAUCUUGCUCCAAACUCUCUCUCUCUCUCUCUCUCUCUCUCUCUCUCUCUCUCUCUCUCUCUCUCUCUCUCUCUCUCUCUCUCUCUCUCUCUCUCUCUCUCUCUCUCUCUCUCAAAUUCUCUCUACGAUCAUUUGUGCAGUAACAAGAAUGUUGAUACCGCUUUCAGUUGUUGACGAUGUUGCUGUCUUGGAUUUAGCCUCAGCUCAAGAACUUCCUCGUACCCACAACAACAUGUUACCUGUGUUUGUUCUCUUUGAUUCUCGUACCAUGUCUCACUACCACCACCCAACAACAACAACAACAACAACACCUUCUUCUUCGUCUCACCACCACAACAAUCUUCCAACAAGAUUAAUGUCUCACAACCGCAACAACAGCGUUUCAUCAACACCAACCUUCUCUGUGGUUGAUGAAACUCUUGUCUAUCAUUCUCAUAUGGCCAACAACACUCCAAGAAGAUCAAGGAUUCAUCAAACAACACGGUCAUUUAAUCAUGGUCAUCCCCACCACCACUACAAUGGUACUACUAGGGCUUCUGCUGCUGUGGUGAUGGAUGUUCAAGAACAUGUUACAACAUCAACAGGAGAUGCAGAAUCCAUCUGCUCCAUUUGUCUUCUUGACUUGUCUAAUGCUUCUUCCACGCCAAUUCCGUUGCGCUGCUCUCAUGUUUUUCAUACUCACUGCAUUCUAAAAUGGAUUAACAUUCGAAAAAACUGUCCUCUCUGUCGCGCCGAUGUUUAAUUUCCAUACAUUGAUACUACUACUUGUUUGUCACACUGUCUUUGUGUGCAAACCUGUUCUUUUGUAUAUCAUUUCCUUAUUCUUUGUGUCAAUACUGCAGAUGUUUAAGGUUAUAGGUUAUUUUUUUUUUGUGAAUACUUAGAACUAUGCUUCUACAUAAAACUUAUUUGAAGAAUGUAUAGCUUUGGGUUGUAUGUUAUUUGAAAAACUUGGGUGUUUCAUGAUCCACAUUUAAUAUGACUUUUUAAAUGAAAAAUUUGUGAUUUGAGACUUGAUUUAUUGUUUCAAAUUAGGCUGUUGUUGAACUUUGAACUUUUUAUUAUAAGGUUGUGGGAAAGGCUGAAUGACAAUUUAAAAAGAGCAAUUGUUGUUUAUGUUUUACUUUAUUACAAUUCUUGUUACUCAAGGUUCUACAUAAAACUGCUCUGUCUUUGUGUGCAUACCUGUUUUUUGUCUAACUUUUCCUUAUUCUUUGUGUCAAUAUGUGUUACACCUCGGAUGUUUAAAGUGAUUUUGUUUGUCAAUAUUUAGAACUAUGCUUAUGUCCUUGCAAUCAUCCAGUUAUACUGAAUAACAACAGAUGUUUAUGUUGUCCAGUUUUAUAACCACUAGUCUAUUAGGCAAGACCGAUAAAAGAAUCAAUUUAAUGUUAAAAUAACAGUAAAGGCUUUGUUUUGAAUAACAGCAGAUGUUUGGUUGGUUGGAUAAUGGAAAGUGUUCUGGGCCGGUCCCCAAGGCCUGGUAAGGAGCAAUCAGGGCCAUCAGAUCCAUCCUACGGGCGUCUGCAUUUCUCUCCUUCCCUUCACAUUUCAGUCACAAACAAACCCCUUUAUAAAGAAAGCAAAGCGUGCCAUUUUCAGAUGCAGUCAUACAAUUUGGAGACCAGCAUCCUCAUGGUAUGGGAGUUUCGGCGGUUGGCAUGGCAUUUUCUUAGUUUAGGAAAAUCAUAAGCGACUGGCACAGAUGUAUCUACAAAACUACACUUGUUGGCAUUUGUGUAGAAUUAUGAUCAUAGUCACAGCCGUAACAUUCACUUCUUACAAUCAUGUCUUCCCAAAUCUCUAUCACUUACUUGAUUUGAGAAAGGCAAAGGGAAGUUAAGGUCGCUUUAUCAAUAUAAAGAAGAAGCUCAAACAUAAGAAUUCUAACGCCACCCUCAAAAAAGGCGACAAUAUCCAUGUGAACUCCUUGGCUAGCCAGCCUGCUACACAACAUUUGUUCACCAACAGCGGGAAUCAAGGCUCAUGAAAUGCAUCACAGUCCAUUUACAAGAUUAAGGGUUUCAAUUUCAACUAUAAUCAGAGCUCGCAAUUCUCUUUAGUACAUGAUGCGAGUUAGGGUUUUGAAAAUUUGCAGAGGCUUACCCGCCAGCCAUUGAAGUGCCUGCAACAUGAGUCAGAAAUAGGCCUUAUGGCUUGUGUGGCGAAAGACAGGGAAGGAACUAUUGCAAGGCUAUUCUAUUCUUGAUUCUAAUACUGAAUUACUCCCAAAAUCAAGGAGUGAUUCAUGGACCUUGCCUUAUUUCUCGAAGACCAUAGAAUUCAUUGUCCUUCAUGAAUAUCUUCCAGGCCACUUAAAUCCUUGAAUAUCUUCAAACUGUUAACCUCUGCUCAUUUUCUAGGAAAAAUGCAACUGGUACUGACAAUUACAACCACAAUAACCAUUUCAUUGUCCUUCAUGAUCCCGUUAAGAGAUUGGAAUUUACCAAAGAACCAACUGAGGGUAUUGGGUUGGGAUUUUAGCAGUGUUAGGAGCUUUUGACUAUUUGUUUUCUCAGUUUUUAUUUGUAUUCAAGUUAACAUGUCAUGGUUGUGCAAUUGUUCAUCAAAGUUUCUAAUGCAGUUGGAAAAUUAAAGGUCAUUCUAAUUCUGAUUCAUUAGUGUAGUUCUGCAUAAAACAUUCA